GGUGUAGCUCAGUCGGUAGAGCAAGUGGCUGUUAACCACUGGGUCGGGGGUUCGAAUCCCUCCACC
rnacentral:tRNA from 1 species